UACAGAGACUGCGAGCGUUAUUCGGAUUCACUGGGCGUAAAGGGUGCGCAGGCGGCCAAAUGUGUGAGGCGUGAAAGCCCGGGGCUUAACCCCGGAAUUGCACCUCAAACUAUUUGGCUAGAGCAUUGGAGAGGGAAGCGGAAUUCACGGUGUAGCAGUGAAAUGCGUAGAUAUCGUGAGGAACACCAGAGGCGAAGGCGGCUUCCUGGACCGACACUGACGCUGAGGCGCGAAAGCCAGGGGAGCAAACGGG
rnacentral:rRNA from 1 species